UUCUUACAGCUAUAAUUAUAAGUAAAGUCUGCUCAAUGCCUAAAGUAAAUAGCCGCAGGAAUUAUACUGUGCUAAGGUAGCAUAAUCAUUAGUCUUCUAAUUAAAGACUCGAAUGAAAGACCCAACAUUUAAAUUACUUUUAAAAUAUAAUAAUCCAAAUUAUAUUAAUAAUAAAAAUAUUAUUAUAAAUAAAAUAGACAAUAAGACCCUAUCAAACUUAACUWAAGUUCAGCUGGGGUAGCUUAAUAAUAAUAAUUUUAUUAUAAUCACCAAGUAAAAAUCUAAUAAAAUUAAUAAAUAAACAAGUUACUGUAGGGAUAACAGCGUAAUACUUUUCUAAAGCUCUUAUUAACAAAAGGGAUUACGACCUCGAUGUUGAAUUAAUAUACCUUUACAAUGCAAUAAAUAUAAAAGGGGGUCUGUUCGACCUUUAAUAUAUUACA
rnacentral:rRNA from 1 species